UACGAAGGGGGCUAGCGUUGUUCGGAUUUACUGGGCGUAAAGCGCACGUAGGCGGAUCGUUAAGUCAGGGGUGAAAUCCUGGAGCUCAACUCCAGAACUGCCUUUGAUACUGGCGAUCUUGAGUCCGGAAGAGGUGAGUGGAACUCCUAGUGUAGAGGUGGAAUUCGUAGAUAUUAGGAAGAACACCAGUGGCGAAGGCGGCCCACUGGAUCGGUACUGACGCUGAGGUGCGAAAGCGUGGGGAGCAAACAGG
rnacentral:rRNA from 1 species